rnacentral:lncRNA from 1 species
ACUAAUCUUUCCUGCUUUCAGCGGCAUCCCUCGCAGGCCCGUGUUGUUCCCAACUGGUGUUCCCACCUGGCGGCAAACUGGUGACUGUAGUUACAGAUCUUCAACAUCACACUCAGGAGAAGAAGGAGAUUGCUUUUCAGGAGCUCCUGCAAGCCGGAGAAUAAAAGCUCUUAUUUAUUCAGAAGCCCUAAAACAUACCACCUUGGCUAUAGACUAUUUGGACAUUUCUAAGCAAAUCUGUCUGCAAAGGUGCUGAGCUGUGUUGAUCAACUGAAGCCCGUGACGUCUCAUCCUUGCAGUUGGAGGUAGGUCUUCUGUCCACCCAAAUCAGAUGGAUGAAAUAGGGAAGGCUGUUCUCCUCAAGGAGAAGCUAGUUUGAAAAAAGCAAUAAGCAGGCUAGGCACAGUGGCUCACGCCUAUAAUCCCAGCACUUUGGCAAAGCCAGUGUUAAGGAGAGGGAAAUCAGACUUCAUCUUUCGAUGGGAGAAGAAAAGAGUUUGCAACUGUCUCUAUUCUGCCACUGGCAGAGAAUCCAUAGGUUUGCUAAGGAUACAGAGCCACAUUGAAAAGAUAAACCUUGCUAUGCUGGAGAUUACUUAGGUGGGCCAGGAUUUCUUGAAACCAAAACUUUACUGAAUCACCUCUUCACCAUCUGUAUGCCGUGCAUUUGCUGAG